UACAGAGGUGGCAAGCGUUGUUCGGAAUUACUGGGCGUAAAGGGCGCGUAGGCGGUCUUUUAAGUCUUGUGUGAAAUCCCUCGGCUCAACUGAGGAACUGCACGGGAUACUGGAAGACUUGAGUUCGGGAGAGGGAAGCGGAAUUCCGGGUGUAGCGGUGAAAUGCGUAGAUAUCCGGAGGAACACCGGUGGCGAAGGCGGCUUCC
rnacentral:rRNA from 1 species